GACGUAGGGCGCGAGCGUUGUCCGGAUUUAUUGGGCGUAAAGAGCUCGUAGGCGGCUUGUCGCGUCGUCCGUGAAAACUUGGGGCUCAACCCCAAGCUUGCGGUCGAUACGGGCAGGCUCGAGUUCGGUAGGGGAGACUGGAAUUCCUGGUGUAGCGGUGAAAUGCGCAGAUAUCAGGAGGAACACCGGUGGCGAAGGCGGUUCUCUGGGAAUGUCCUGACGCUGAGGAGCGAAAGUGUGGGGAGCGAACAGG
rnacentral:rRNA from 1 species